GAGACUGGGAGCACUCACACUUAGAGGCUGUUAACAGGCAGUUGAGUAAGUGGCAUUUCUCCUGCUUUUCUGCUUUUAUUUUUUAUCUUCAGACAAUAUUUUAUGUAAGGAUGCGUGAGUACUCCCAGUCUCUUCCAAGGCCAAAUCAAAAAAGGGCUCAUCACAGUUUAUCUGGGAAGUGGCAACUAACAGGUGAGCCUGCCCAUAGAACACAAAGUGUCCUCAGCUGUGUGGAUGGAGCUGUGGUCAGUUCUCACUGCUCUGCCACUCUCCCUCAUUUUAAGGUAUGCUUGGCUUCUUGUGAAGUUCAGUAACUUCUUGAAAAUGCAAAAAAAAAAAUUAUACAGGGCAAACUUUGCAUUGGAUAAAUCAAGGUCCUUGCCAUUAGUAUUUUGGGGAUGUUGGUGGAUUUUUUAUUGUUGCUUUGUUUUGAUUUGUUUAUGGUAUGUGAAGAACUGCAACACUUUCUUGCAAUGAGACUUCUGAAUCCAGAUGACAGUGCUGUGGCUCAAACAGGGUUUUAAGGCCAAUAAUGGAAAUUACCUUGGGUUUUGGUGAUGGCCUUGGCAUCAAAUGAUGUGGAUGGCUUCGGGUAUGCAGCUUCUUAUAGGAUGAUCUUGGCAGGUUGCAUUUAUUCUGUAUCAACAACCCAGCCUCGGGUGUCAGCAUUCUGGAGAUUUUGUGGUCGGACAAAGUGUUCCCACCUUCUCCUUGUAUCACUUCCAGGAAAGAUUUUGGCAAAAUCCCCUGGAUCUGCACAGAACCUACAGAUUUAAGAUGUCUUUGCACAGCCAGAGGCUGAGAUCAUGGCUGUCUAACUACAGUUGGAUAUUUUCAUAUCUGCCAAGUUUAGCCUUAAAUAAAUAAAUGAAAAAA